GAUGAACGCUGGCGGCAUGCCUUACACAUGCAAGUCGAACGGCAGCAUGACCUAGCUUGCUAGGUUGAUGGCGAGUGGCGAACGGGUGAGUAAUGCAUCGGAACGUGCCUUUUAGUGGGGGAUAACGUAGCGAAAGUUACGCUAAUACCGCAUAUUCUCUGAGGAGGAAAGCAGGGGGCCUUCGGGCCUUGCGCUAGAAGAGCGGCCGAUGUCGGAUUAGCUAGUUGGUGAGGUAAAGGCUCACCAAGGCAACGAUCCGUAGCGGGUCUGAGAGGAUGAUCCGCCACACUGGGACUGAGACACGGCCCAGACUCCUACGGGAGGCAGCAGUGGGGAAUUUUGGACAAUGGGCGCAAGCCUGAUCCAGCCAUGCCGCGUGAGUGAAGAAGGCCUUCGGGUUGUAAAGCUCUUUCGGCUGGGAAGAAAUCGCACUCUCUAAUACAGGGUGUGGAUGACGGUACCAGCAUAAGAAGCACCGGCUAACUACGUG
rnacentral:rRNA from 1 species